rnacentral:rRNA from 1 species
GAUGAACGCUGGCGGCGUGCCUAAUACAUGCAAGUAGAACGCUGAAGGAGGAGCUUGCUCUUCUGGAUGAGUUGCGAACGGGUGAGUAACGCGUAGGUAACCUGCCUGGUAGCGGGGGAUAACUAUUGGAAACGAUAGCUAAUACCGCAUGACAACAGUUAUUGCAUGAUAACUGUUUAAAAGGGGCAACUGCUCCACUACCAGAUGGACCUGCGUUGUAUUAGCUAGUUGGUGAGGUAACGGCUCACCAAGGCGACGAUACAUAGCCGACCUGAGAGGGUGAUCGGCCACACUGGGACUGAGACACGGCCCAGACUCCUACGGGAGGCCGCAGUAGGGAAUCUUCGGCAAUGGACGGAAGUCUGACCGAGCAACGCCGCGUGAGUGAAGAAGGUUUUCGGAUCGUAAAGCUCUGUUGUAAGAGAAGAACGAGUGUGAGAGUGGAAAGUUCACACUGUGACGGUAUCUUACCAGAAAGGGACGGCUAACUACGUG